AGAGAAUAGAUACCCGGGUAGUCCACGCCGUAAACGAUGUCGACUAGGUGUCGGGGGUAUCGACCCCCCGGCGCCGGAGCUAAACGCAUUAAAGUCGACCGCCUGGGGACGUACGGCCGCAAGGCUAAAACUACAAAGGAAUUGACGGGGGCCCGGCACAAGCAGCGGAGCGUGUGGUUCAAUUCGAUGCAACGCGCAGAACCUUACCUGGGCUUGACAUGCACGUGGUACCGGACCGAAAGGCGAGGGACCCGCGAGGGAGCGUGCACAGAUGCUGCAUGGCUGUCGUCAGCUCGUGCCGUGAGGUGUUGGGUUAAAGUCCCCGCAACGAGCGCAAACCCCCGCCGUCAGUUGCCAUCUCUGGGCGGGACCGGCCGGUACAAACCGGGAGGAAGGUGGGGAUGACGUCAAGUCAGCACGGCUCUUACGUCCA
rnacentral:rRNA from 1 species